CAACAAUACAGCUUGAUGUUGUAGAAGCAGAGACAGAGGAGGUAACUGGAGGAAAUGGGCUGCUCCGAGCCAAGAGAACCACCAAGCGAUUAUCUGUGACAUCACUUCCUUCAGGGCUGCAGAAGGCACAAUAUUCAUCAAAAAAGAGACCACACUUCCCAGCACUUAAAAAGAAGAAGCGGAGCAUGGAAGCCAUUCUCCAGAAAUCAGAGCUGACUGUAGGCAAGCUUCAAAUGUGGAUGACCUCAUAGAAACAGUGGCUGACAAAUCCAUGAAGCUUCUGGAACAAAGACACGCAGAGCUUAAGCAGUGUGAGUUCCUAGGGGCUGAGAUCCUUCAGUCUUCGAAGCAAUUCCAAAGGCUUUCCAAGAGAACCACAAGGAAGUAUAAGCUGCAAAGAGCAUGCUUCCCAUGCACCUGCUGCUGCUGCUGAGUUCCCAGUACACAGCUCAGCUACAAAGAGGACUCUGUCUCAAACAGGGUAGACAAGCAGCAGCCAACGUUGUCAUCUGAAUCUAACCACAUGCUACAACAGGUGCACUCCCUCAUACAUAGCAUGUAAACACAUGUACCACGCACGCAUGCUCCCAAAUAAGUAUUGUUUAAAAAGAUUCCUCAAGACAAAACGAUAGAAGCAGCAGCAUUUACUAACUACAUUCCUCAAGGACUAAGAGAGCUGCAGAAAAGCAACACAGAUGGACGGAUUUCAUACGACAGCCAUUCUUAACAGUGUGAAAGCUUCUCCUACAGUAAACACACGCCUUACGCACUCAUCGUGGCCACUCACGGACUCCGUUUUCUCGUGUGUAUCCCAAACGCCAUCUUAGAAUCCUUACCUGAUUUGCUAAGGCAAGUGUUAGCAGCUACCUAGAGUUUCAAAUGAGCACAAAGAUCCACCUUGAGACAUUUUAUUAAAUAUGUUCAGAUGCUGAUUUCUACGUUUAAGGAUAAAAAUGCAUUUAAGACAUACAUAUAUAUGGGGUACAUUUCCUUUGUGUGAAGAAAUAUGAACGACACAUGAAUUAAUACUUGAAAGCAAAGUACUUCAAUGCUCAAGUUGAAAUAUCCCAAAAGUACAACCCUGAAUCCAGGCAGCCCAUGCAGCUAUUCACUGUCCCUGUAAACGGCGACGGUCAGCCCAUCUACGGCUUAGGGGCUGCUUCCAUGGUGCUUUCUUGAGCUUCAUCCACCUCCGACAGCUUGUCAUCAUCUGUAGUUAAGAAGACACAGAACCUUACUCCACGUCACCUACAUUUUGUGCCUAGUAAUGCAUGAAAAGUUUUAUUUUGCAUUAGCAAAUAUGGUUGUGUAUGCAGCCCCUCUGCACCCCCCCCCCACGUAAUUGUUAUAUUUGGUUAUUUUUACAUAUUAUUAAGAGCAUAUAAUUUGUGUGAUAGAUUUCAUUAAAAACAAACAAAUUAAAAUCUAGGUCUCAGCCUGUU
rnacentral:lncRNA from 1 species